ACUUGACGUGCUAUGUCUAAACUAGAUUGCAAGAUCAUAAGAAGGAAAGAAACUGACUUGUAUAACUUGUAAAAAAAAAAAAAAAAAAAAAAAAAAAAAAAGUAAACCUAUGGAGCUAGAAGAACAACCGCGACAGAUUGGCAGAAUAGGCGUAAGAAGAUCCUGCUGGAGCUCUGAUGAAGCAUUUGGUGUGGAGCAGCUUUUGGCACUUGCAGUUUUCCGAUGUCCUUAUUUUCAUGAGGGCAAGCAAGAAAAGAAAGC
rnacentral:lncRNA from 1 species